rnacentral:rRNA from 1 species
UACGAAGGGUGCAAACGUUGCUCGGAAUUAUUGGGCGUAAGCGCGCGUAGGCGGCCCGGUAAGUCGGAUGUGAAAUCUCACGGCUCAACCGUGGAACUGCAUUCGAAACUGUCGGGCUAGAGGCAGGUAGGGGAGAUCGGAAUUCCCGGUGGUAGCGGUGGAAAUGACGCAGAUAUCGGGAGGAACACCGGUGGCGAAGGCGGAUCUCUGGGCCUGUCCGUGACGCUCAGGCGCGAAAGCUAGGGGAGCGAACAGG